rnacentral:rRNA from 1 species
CUCUCUGCAAGGUGCUGCAUGGUUGUCGUCAGCUCGUGCCGUGAGGUGUCGGGUUAAGUCCCAUAACGAGCGCAACCCUUAUCGUUAGUUGCCAGCGGGUAAUGCCGGGGACUCUAGCGAAACUGCCGGUGUAAACCGAGAGGAAGGUGGGGAUGACGUCAAAUCAGCACGGCCCUUAUGUCCAGGGCUACACACGUGUUACAAUGGCCGGUACAGAGGGCAGCUACCUGGAGACAGGAUGCGAAUCUCGAAAGCCGGUCUCAGUUCGGAUCGGAGUCUGCAACUCGACUACGUGAAGUCGGAAUCGCUAGUAAUCGUGGAUCAGAAUGUCACGGUGAAUACGUUCCCGGGUCUU